rnacentral:rRNA from 1 species
CCUACGGGUGGCAGCAGUCGAGAAUCAUUCACAAUGGGGGAAACCCUGAUGGUGCGACGCCGCGUGGGGGAAUGAAGGUCUUCGGAUUGUACACCCCUGUCAUGUGGGAGCAAAUUAAAAAGAUAGUACCACAAGAGGAAGAGACGGCUAACUCUGUGCCAGCAGCCGCGGUAAUACAGAGGUCUCAAGCGUUGUUCGGAAUCACUGGGCGUAAAGCGUGUGUAGGCUGUUUCGUAAGUCGGGUGUGAAAGGCGCGGGCUCAACCCGCGGACGGCACAUGAUACUGCUAGACUAGUGUAAUGGAGGGGUAACCGGAAUUCUCGGUGUAGCAGUGAAAUGCGUAGAUAUCGAGAGGAACACUCGUGGCGAAGGCGGGUUCCUGGACAUUAACUGACGCUGAGGCACGAAGGCCAGGGGAGCGAAAGGGAUUAGAUACCCGGGUAGUC